UCUAGGUUUACAGAUUUCAGACAAACUCCGAAUGCCAAUUAAUUUAACUUGGGAGUCAGUACAUGGGUGAUAAGGUCAGUGUUCGUAAGUGAAACAGCCCAGACAACCAGCUAAGGUCCCAAAAUAUAUGUUAAGUGGAAAAGGAUGUGGCGAUGCCCAGACAACUAGGAUGUAGGCUUAGAAGCAGCCAUCAGUUAAACAUUGCUUAAAAGCACACAAGUCGAGAGACACUGCGCCG
rnacentral:rRNA from 1 species